rnacentral:rRNA from 1 species
UACAGAGGGUGCGAGCGUUGUUCGGAAUUAUUGGGCGUAAAGGGCGCGUAGGCGGUGCGGUAAGUCACCUGUGAAAUCUCCUGGCUCAACUGGGAGCUUGCAGGCGAAACUGCCGUGCUGGAGUGUGGGAGAGGUGCGUGGAAUUCCUGGUGUAGCGGUGAAAUGCGUAGAUAUCUGGAGGAAUACCGGUGGCGAAGGCGGCAUCCUGGACCGACAUUGACGCUGAACGGCGAAAGCUAGGGGAGCAAACGGG